UGAGCAGCUAAGAACUUGUUCACAAACAACAAACGCGACUAAGCUGUCUUUCAGCGGCUUGUGGGUUCAUGAGGAGCCGCUGAUGAAGAGCAGUCUGGAUUCUGGGAGCCUUUGGCUGGAGAGAGACCCAAAGUUGGGCUGUUUCUGUUGGACAGGAUGGACGUCAUUGUGGCAUGUGAAGGACAGAGUGAACCACUGUUGUCUUGUUGCAGAGAAGUGAUGACCCAUCUGCAUUCCAAGAGUUAAGACCAUUGACACAGAGAGGGAGACUGCCCUUUUAAACCUGUGAACACAUGAAGGAGGAAAAGCAACAACCUUGAUAAGAAGUGACUUCCAAGACCACCUUGACAUGCAUUCAUGCUGUCCAGAGUUCCCUGCAGUGCUGCAUUCCUUCUCAUCACAG